rnacentral:rRNA from 1 species
AGAUUGAACGCUGGCGGCAUGCUUUACACAUGCAAGUCGAACGGCAGCACGGGGGCAACCCUGGUGGCGAGUGGCGAACGGGUGAGUAAUGCAUCGGAACGUAUCUUUAAGUGGGGGAUAACGCAUCGAAAGAUGCGCUAAUACCGCAUAAUCUCUGAGGAGAAAAGCAGGGGAUCGCAAGACCUUGCGCUUUUGGAGCGGCCGAUGUCUGAUUAGCUAGUUGGUGGGGUAAAGGCUUACCAAGGCUUCGAUCAGUAGCUGGUCUGAGAGGACGACCAGCCACACUGGAACUGAGACACGGUCCAGACUCCUACGGGAGGCAGCAGUGGGGAAUUUGGACAAUGGGCGCAAGCCUGAUCCAGCAAUGCCGCGUGAGUGAAGAAGG